rnacentral:rRNA from 1 species
AUGCACGCUGGCGGCGUGCCUAAUACAUGCAAGUCGCGCGAACAGACGAGGAGCUUGCUCCUCUGACGUUAGCGGCGGACGGGUGAGUAACACGUGGAUAACCUACCUAUAAGACUGGGAUAACUUCGGGAAACCGGAGCUAAUACCGGAUAAUAUAUUGAACCGCAUGGUUCAAUAGUGAAAGACGGUUUUGCUGUCACUUAUAGAUGGAUCCGCGCCGCAUUAGCUAGUUGGUAAGGUAACGGCUUACCAAGGCAACGAUGCGUAGCCGACCUGAGAGGGUGAUCGGCCACACUGGAACUGAGACACGGUCCAGACUCCUACGGGAGGCAGCAGUAGGGAAUCUUCCGCAAUGGGCGAAAGCCUGACGGAGCAACGCCGCGUGAGUGAUGAAGGUCUUCGGAUCGUAAAACUCUGUUAUUAGGGAAGAACAAAUGUGUAAGCAACUAUGCACGUCUUGACGGUACCUAAUCAGAAAGCCACGGCUAACUACGUG